UACGUAGGGGGCAAGCGUUGUCCGGAUUUAUUGGGCGUAAAGAGCGUGUAGGCGGCCAGAUAGGUCAGCUGUGAAAACUCGAGGCUCAACCUCGAGAUGUCGGCUGAAACCAUCUGGCUAGAGUCCGGAAGAGGAGAAUGGAAUUCCCGGUGUAGCGGUGAAAUGCGCAGAUAUCGGGAGGAACACCCGUAGCGAAGGCGGCACUCUGGGCCGGUACUGACGCUGAGGAGCGAAAGCGUGGGGAGCAAACAGG
rnacentral:rRNA from 1 species